GACGAACGCUGGCGGCGUGCCUAAUACAUGCAAGUCGAACGCUUCUUUUCACCGAACUUCGGUUCAUCGAAAAAGAGGAGUGGCGAACGGGUGAGUAACACGUGGAUAACCUGCCCAUCAGAAGGGGAUAACACUUGGAAACAGGUGCUAAUACCGUAUAAUGCUUUUUCUCGCAUGAGAGCAAGCUGAAAUGCGCUUUUGCGUCACUGAUGGAUGGACCCGCGGUGCAUUAGCUAGUUGGUGAGGUAACGGCUCACCAAGGCCACGAUGCAUAGCCGACCUGAGAGGGUGAUCGGCCACACUGGGACUGAGACACGGCCCAGACUCCUCUCGGGAGGCAGCAGUAGGGAAUCUUCGGGCAAUGGACGAAAGUCUGACCGAGCAACGCCGCGUGAGUGAAGAAGGU
rnacentral:rRNA from 1 species